rnacentral:tRNA from 16 species
GCGGGUGUAGCUCAGGGGUAGAGCACAACCUUGCCAAGGUUGGGGUCGAGGGUUCGAAUCCCUUCACCCGCUCCA